ensembl:lincRNA
AUGCAAGCAGGGCUGAGAGCAACGACAAAGUUCAAUGUGUCCAGUGGUUUUCACCGUAGAGAACAUUUUCUCACGGAUGUUUUCAGUGCCUUGGAAAGGCUGUCCCGGCGGCAUAAUACCCGUUCCCGUGCUGCGGUCAUCAGCGCGGUUCCUUGCCGGGGUCCCGCCGGGGCCGGACCUUCGUUCCCUGCAGCGCCCGCGGGGCCUCGGCGCCCCGCGAGGUCGCGGGCCGGACGGUGGGGAUGUUUGCGCCGGACCUGGAAGGACUCAAAUCCUGAGCGGACCUGGUGUCCCUCUGACAUGCGGAUCCUGUUGGCUGUCCUGUCUGGAACUGUACGUUUGCCUCCUUUAUCUGGAUUGGAUUUCUGCUCAGACCUGAUAACCAGACUGACCAGGGAGGUGAAGGAAUUCGAAUUUCAUGUAAAUGGGAUGAAAAGCUACUGUCUGAUUUUAAACAGGGAACCUGACCCGGAGUAGUAGCUGAUUCCCCACCUGGCUGCUUGCAAUCACUUACCAGCCCAGUCCCUCUGGGGGCCUUGGGGUUUGUGACUCCUGGGAUCAGAAGAAGCAGGGCUGGGAAGUCAACCCUGAGUCAAAUACAAGCUCUGUAGCACGCCAGUGGCAAGUAGGGGCAAAACCACUUAAUGUCUUUCAGCCACGAUCCCGCUUGAGUCAGGUGGCAAUGGAAAGGAAGUAUAGGCAGAGGAAACCAAACCACAGACUCUUCCAUUCCCGGGGCCCAUAAAAAGCGAGUGGGAGAAAAAGUUGAAGGAAAAAGAUAAAACCUACCUGCAAUGAUCAAAAAGAGCGUGACCUCAUGACAAAAGGUGGCUGUGUAGUUAAUUAGCAAAUCUUGGUGAAACUCCCACCAUACUCAUCAAGAGCCAGUAGAGGUCUCGGGGAUAUAUCUCAAAUACGGAGAAAUACAUUUUAGGGAUAUCUUUGUCUUUCUUCCGCGGCUGCAUGUGGGCGGAGGCGGCGCGGGGCGUGACUGCUGGGAGUACCUAGAUCACAAUGAAAUGGAAGAGGGGAGGGCGGGGCCUGGCUCCUGGCCAGAAGCAGAGGCUUAAGGAUGUCGUGUUGGCUUGGGAACCACCUGAAUUCUGGGCUCAUCUUCCCAAAGGCACGGCGUCCGUCCCACUUCCUCUCUCUGGGUUCAAAGAACAGUUAGGUAGGGCAGGUAGCAAAGUCUGAAAAGUGAGAGUAAAACUCUGUAGAUUUGAUUUGUAAACCAGUCCCUUUGGCCAUCUUCAAGAACUCUAGCUCAUUAGGAAACAAUGGAAUUGGGAUAAAACUCUCUUUGAAGGGUGUGUUCAAUAAAUGAAUGAAGGCAUAGCACCGUUCCUACUUGAACGCCUAGGGCCAUUUUCAACGACUGAGCUUUCAUUAGAAUAAGCAAGAAAUUAUUUUUUAUUCAUUACAGCUUUAUUAAUUAAGUCAACAACAGAAGCAUCCCUAGUCAGUGCUAAGAUUUUAUUACAAGGGAAGAGUGACAGUGGUACUGCAUACUUUCCAAAGGUGUGUCUUUGUUAGUAAAAACUAGCUAGGGUGUGGUAGAGCUCUCAGUCCGUGUGAAGUUACAGGCUUAUAAAAACAAACGCAUUAGAGUAUGCUUCAUUCACAAACAAUGGAAAACCCACAAAUUCAUGCAUUACUUACUCUGAUGUUCAGAUAUGAGCCAGAAACAAACAAAAAAUAGUCUUAUUGAGAAUUUUGAAGGAAUUCUUUUUAAAAAAAUCUUUAUUUUUUUCUGUUUAACAAUGGUUUAUUUCUUUCUAUAAAUUUGUAGAGCAUUGCAAAGCAAAACAUUGGCUAGGCUUGAAGGAAUAUGGAAUUCCAAGUAAUACAAUUGCUGGACUUGUGUGAAGACCAGUAAUUAACAGUGAAUAUCAACAAAUGACAUUGUUUGCUUGGUUUGACACACAGGAAUGUACUCUGGCCCAGAGAUGUAAGAAAUUUACCUCUUCCAUAUUCAGAAACAAAAGACCUACCCUUGGUUUAACCGUGGUUACAAAUAAAACACUUGGUGCUUUUUUUUGUUUGUUUACUCAAAAAUAUUUUUCUCAAAAUGUC